AGAAAUUCCAUAUCAUAUCAGAGAUGCAAUGUGGAAUCAGUUUAGGACUAAGUGUGUGUGGGAGCAACGAUAUGACAAUGAAAUAAAAGAUGUCUUUGUGAAGAAA